rnacentral:rRNA from 1 species
CUACGGGGUGCACCAGUGGGGAAUAUUGCACAAUGGAGGAAACUCUGAUGCAGCAACGCCGCGUGGAGGAUGACACUUUUCGGAGCGUAAACUCCUUUUAUAUAGGAAGAAGAUGACGGUACUAAAUGAAUAAGCGCCGGCUAACUCCGUGCCAGCAGCCGCGGUAAUACGGAGGGCGCAAGCGUUACUCGGAAUCACUGGGCGUAAAGAGCGUGUAGGCGGAUUAAAAAGUCAGAAGUGAAAUCCUAUAGCUUAACUAUAGAACUGCCUCUGAAACUCUUAAUCUAGAAUAUGGGAGAGGUAGAUGGAAUUUCUGGUGUAGGGGUAAAAUCCGUAGAGAUCAGAAGGAAUACCGAUUGCGAAGGCGAUCUACUAGAACAUUAUUGACGCUGAGACGCGAAAGCGUGGGGAGCAAACAGGAUUAGAUACCCCUGUAGUC